GGUUGCGAUCAUACCAGCUUUUUAAUGCACCGGGGGAUCCAUCGGGCCAGAACUAGGACCGACAAUUAAGCGUGCUUGGGCGAGAGUAGUACUAGGAUGGGGACGGAGGCGCGACCGGCGACCUGGGAACGAGUUGCAACCC
rnacentral:rRNA from 1 species